AGUGAACGCUGGCGGUAGGCCUAACACAUGCAAGUCGAACGGCAGCACAGUAAGAGCUUGCUCUUACGGGUGGCGAGUGGCGGACGGGUGAGGAAUACAUCGGAAUCUACUUUUUCGUGGGGGAUAACGUAGGGAAACUUAGGCUAAUACCGCAUACGACCUACGGGUGAAAGCAGGGGAUCUUCGGACCUUGCGCGAUUGAAUGAGCCGAUGUCGGAUUAGCUAGUUGGCGGGGUAAAGGCCCACCAAGGCGACGAUCCGUAGCUGGUCUGAGAGGAUGAUCAGCCACACUGGAACUGAGACACGGUCCAGACUCCUACGGGAGGCAGCAGUGGGGAAUAUUGGACAAAGGGCGCAAGCCUGAUCCAGCCAUACCGCGUGGGUGAAGAAGGCCUUCGGGUUGUAAAGCCCUUUUGUUGGGAAAGAAAAGCAGCAGGUUAAUACCCCGCUGUUCUGACGGUACCCAAAGAAUAAGCACCGGCUAACUUCGUG
rnacentral:rRNA from 1 species